GGGAGUAACAACCUGGAAACAAGAUGCUAAUAACCGGAUAACAACAGAUGAUGCCUAUCAACUGUUUAAAAGAUGGUUCUGCUAUCACUCUUGGAUGGACCUGCGGUGCAUUAGCUAGUUGGUAGGGUAACGGCCUACCAAGGCGAUGAUGCAUAGCCGAGUUGAGAGACUGAUCGGCCACAUUGGGACUGAGACACGGCCCAAACUCCUACGGGAGGCAGCAGGA
rnacentral:rRNA from 1 species